CUAGAGUUGAGGCCGAAUCGAAGACGUCUUCCCAUCAUCGGUUGGCAUCAACAUGUUGGGCUGGCCCCUCUUAUGACUAUUUGCUGUUUAUUUUUGUUGAAUUUUAAAUCCGCACGCUUUCCUCCUCCUUGGUCCUGGCUGGUUUAUUAUCCUUUCCCGGCACUUUUUUAUGAGUUAAGCCAGACGCGGCUUAUCUAUGUGACAAUGCGGUAGGCACCACCAGCCAAAUGGUAAUGGGCUUGUGGAAGCGGAACGCGCAAUUCGCAGGGUGAAUAUAUAUACGUAUAUGUGUCCUUUAUUGCCAGGCCUACGAAUCCAACCCACCGUACCAUCACACCACCCUACUGCCUCCUGUCGCAUUAUUCAUAAAUAAAUUAAAUAAAAAUAUUUUUUCAAGCCGCAAGCCAUGCAACAAUAACAAAUAAGCGGCCCACAGAGCGAGGAGGAGGCUGGCAGGCAGAAGGAUAAAGAACUCGACUCCCAGCUCAACCGGAGCGGCGGCAAGAAAUCUGCAUAAUGAAGCGUAAUACGCAAAUGGUGUGGAGUUGUGAUUGGACCCGGAUUCCGCGAAUUGAGCUGCUCAAAUCGGGUGCAAACAGGAAGAAGCUUACGUAUCCCUCAGGAUUCUUAAAUAUUCGCGAUACGCGCUGUCACUUGAAUUGUAAAUAUCAAACAGGUUCAUUUAAAAUUAAUAGCCAACUGCCCAGCUAUUAGCCCCACAUCCUGAAUAAACUUUUAUAAUUCUUUUUAUAGAUCCGCAACAAGCGCAUAUUUCAAUAAUGGCAUCCAAUCCAAUUUCUUGGACUCGAGAGCGCACCCCUUGAAGUUAUUAAAAGAUUUGUGGGGCCCAGGAUCAGGGGUCAAGAGUAACCACCCCUUUAGCCCCUCACACUGAAUGAAUCUGGAAUCUGAAAUCAGGAAGCCAAGAGGAGUAUAGUCACUUUCGAUACGCCUCUUUGGCAGCAGUUUGUUUGGGCGUGUUAAAAGUUAAAAUAAAUCAAACUGCCAUAAAUUUCCCGCUUUCGGCAAUAUGUGGGGAAUUCGAUACGUUCAUCAAAUGUAAAAGGGUUCAAGCGAUGCUUUUG